rnacentral:rRNA from 1 species
GUGGGGAAUAUUGGACAAUGGGCACAAGCCUGAUCCAGCAAUGCCGCGUGGGUGAAGAAGGCCUUCGGGUUGUAAAGCCCUUUUGUACGGGAAGAAAUCAUUCGGGUUAAUACCCUGGGUGGAUGACGGUACCGUAAGAAUAAGCACCGGCUAACUUCGUGCCAGCAGCCGCGGUAAUACGAAGGGUGCAAGCGUUAAUCGGAAUUACUGGGCGUAAAGCGCGCGUAGGUGGUUUUGUAAGUUGGAGGUGAAAUCCCCGGGCUCAACCUGGGAACUGCAUUUGUGACUGCAUCGCUGGAGUGCGGCAGAGGGGGAUGGAAUUCCGCGUGUAGCAGUGAAAUGCGUAGAUAUAGGAAGGAACACCAGUGGCGAAGGCGACUACCUGGACUGAUACUGACACUGAGGUGCGAAAGCGUGGGGAGCAAACAGGAUUAGAAACCCGGGUAGUCC